rnacentral:rRNA from 1 species
UACAGGGGGGGCAAGCGUUGUUCGGAAUUACUGGGCGUAAAGGGCGCGUAGGCGGCCAACUAAGUCCGACGUGAAAUCCCAAAGCUUAACUUUGGAACUGCGUCGGAUACUGGAUGGCUUGAAUUCGGGAGAGGGAUGCAGAAUUCCAGGUGUAGCGGUGAAAUGCGUAGAUAUCUGGAGGAAUACCGGUGGCGAAGGCGGCAUCCUGGACCGGCAUUGACGCUGAGGCGCGAAAGCCAGGGGAGCAAACGGG